AUGCACGCUGGCGGCGUGCCUCAUCCAUGCAAGUCGCGCGCACGGACGAGAAGCUUGCUUCUCUGAUGUUAGCGGCGGACGGGUGAGUAACACGUGGAUAACCUACCUAUAAGACUGGGAUAACUUCGGGAAACCGGAGCUAAUACCGGAUAAUAUUUUGAACCGCAUGGUUCAAAAGUGAAAGACGGUCUUGCUGUCACUUAUAGAUGGAUCCGCGCUGCAUUAGCUAGUUGGUAAGGUAACGGCUUACCAAGGCAACGAUGCAUAGCCGACCUGAGAGGGUGAUCGGCCACACUGGAACUGAGACACGGUCCAGACUCCUACGGGAGGCAGCAGUAGGGAAUCUUCCGCAAUGGGCGAAAGCCUGACGGAGCAACGCCGCGUGAGUGAUGAAGGUCUUCGGAUCGUAAAACUCUGUUAUUAGGGAAGAACAUAUGUGUAAGUAACUGUGCACAUCUUGACGGUACCUAAUCAGAAAGCCACGGCUAACUACGUG
rnacentral:rRNA from 1 species